GCAUCUAGGUUCUCUUUAGUUUUUAGAAAGUUGGCCUAUAACAAGACAGACGAGAAGCUGAAUUGAAUUCGCAGAUAGCUGAUAUGGGUAGAAUCAUUUAAAUAAUGUAGACAUUCUGUUCAUCCUGGAAGAAGAUAAACAUCAACAAAUAAUAAAAGACUAGAAGAGAAUUGGUGAUUGCGAUGAUCGCCGUUGGACAAGCAGCUGUCGCACAAGGCUACUCCACACUCCUGGCAGAAGACAG